AUCGCUUCUCGGCCUUUUGGCUAAGAUCAAGUGUAGUAUCUGUUCUUAUCAGUUUAAUAUCUGAUACGUCCCCUACCCGGGGACCAUAUAUUACAUUGAUUUUUGGAACAGGGAGAUGGAAUAGGGGCUUGGUCACCGUGCUUCCUCAGCUCUUCAGUUCGUAAUUUUUUAGUUCAGGUAUCAAUUUCUU